UACGGAGGGGGCUAGCGUUGUUCGGAAUUACUGGGCGUAAAGCGCACGUAGGCGGAUCAGCCAGUCAGGGGUGAAAUCCCGGGGCUCAACCCCGGAACUGCCCUUGAUACUGCUGGUCUGGAGUUCGAGAGAGGCGAGUGGAAUUCCGAGUGUAGAGGUGAAAUUCGUAGAUAUUCGGAGGAACACCAGUGGCGAAGGCGGCUCGCUGGCUCGACACUGACGCUGAGGUGCGAAAGCGUGGGGAGCAAACAGGAUUAGAUACCCCCGUAGU
rnacentral:rRNA from 1 species